GCGCUGGUGGUUCAGUGGUAGAAUUCUCGCUUGCCACGCGGGGAGACCGGGGUUCGAUUCCCCGCUAGCGCA
rnacentral:tRNA from 1 species